UUUCCGUAGGUGAACCUGCGGAAGGAUCAUUAUCGAAUUUCGAGGGGAAGGAAGAUGAGGAGUGGAGACUGUCGCUGGCUUUCCCGCCUGGGAAGCAUGAGCACGCCUUGCUUUUCGUUGACCUUUCUCUUACUCUCACACCUGUGCACCCAUUGUAGGUCCUCGAAAGAGGAUCUAUGUUUUUAUCAUCACACGCAUCGUAUGUCCAUAGAAUGUAACAUGAUCGUCGAUCGACCUCGCGGUCGGGUGGCGGUCUAAAUAAAUAAAUACAACUUUCAGCAACGGAUCUCUUGGCUCUC
rnacentral:misc_RNA from 1 species